rnacentral:tRNA from 1 species
UCUGGUAUAGUGUAACGGUUAACAUACCUCAUUUUCACCGAGGAGCUUGGGGUUCGAUUCCCUGUACCGGAG